rnacentral:misc_RNA from 1 species
GUUGGCGCGCAGGGUACGUUGGAUCCCUGCUUGGGCAGCGACGACGUCUCAUGCGGGCCUCUUCAUUCGAUGGCACAAGCGCUUGUUUGCCUUGGCCGUGUGCUGUUUCCUGUGCUGCGUACCUUCCUUGAAGGCAUUGUUUGGCCCAACAACGUCCCUAUUCACGCGACGAGCCGCUCCCCAUGGGAUGUGGCACGUCGUGGAACCUCAAAGCAGUCGAUCGCGUCCCAAGCCUCGUGCGCCCACCACGGGCACAGGCCCCUGGUGCGUGUCGGCUGCUCGAUCUCUCGGGUGCAGAACAUGCAGCGGGUAUGAGGUCUUCAACGAGGCCUCUAUCUACCCAAAAAACGAUGCGUUGCGAACGACGGCCGUCCCCGUCUCGGGCGAGUACCUCGUGUCUCGUUCGUGCGGGGCGGUGUCGGUGAGGAAUGCUACCUGGUUGAUCCUGCCAGUAGUCAUAUGCUUUGUCUC